CCCUUAGAUGUUCUGGGCCGCACGCGCGCUACACUGACGAUGGCAACGAGUUUUUCCUUCGCCGAAAGGUGUGGGUAAUCUUUUGAAACAUCGUCGUGCUGGGGAUAGAUCAUUGCAAUUUUUGAUCUUGAACGAGGAAUUCCUAGUAAGCGCGAGUCAUCAGCUCGCGUUGAUUACGUCCCUGCCCUUUGGACACACCGCCCGUCGCUACUACCGAUUGAAUGGUUUAGUGAGGACUCCUGAUUGGCGCCGCCGCCCCGGCAACGGAGCAGCGGACUGCCGAAAAGUUGUUCAAACUUGAUCAUUUAGAGGAAGUAAAAGUCGUAACA
rnacentral:rRNA from 1 species